CUCAGUGUUUGGAUGGAUGAAGCCCAUGGAAGUGGGGUUCAGCUUAUCCCUCAGUAUCCAGUGCUUAAUCAGUCUGUUACCCUGAGCGUCACUGGGGUCACUGGCACAAUACAACAGUUUACAUGGUAUAAAGUUAUACAUGGUUAUAACCAAUUAUUCAGUGUUAUUCCAUCUCUAAACACAGUGACAGCAGGGCCUCAGUAUUUCCCUUGGGCCAGCUGGCUUCCAAAUGGCUCAUUGCAAAUUUUAGGCCUUGUUCCUACAGACCAGGGGAGUUACAUGGUACAGAUUUGGACUGCUUAUACAAUACCACACAGAAUUUCAGUUACCCUGCCAGUUUAUGCUAAAUGGGCCAGAUGAAAGAACCAUGUCACCCUGUGUCAUUCAAUUGAGAAGUCCCCAUUGGACCUAAAGUUGAAGCUCAUUGGCAAAUACGGUCUGCGUAACUAGCACGAAGUGUAGAGGGUGAGAAUUACUCUUGCCAAGAUCUGAAAGGCUGCCAGAGAGCUGCUAACCUUGGGUGAGAAGGAACCCGAGCGCCUGUGUGAGGGUAUAGUGCAUUUUAUUCCAAACUUU